GAACAAGUGGAUCAGAGAAUGUUGCCAGAAGAUACUACCAGGGCUGCCCAGAUCAGUUGGAAAGGCCUUAGGGACAAAUCUUUAAGAGGUUCUUGCUGUGUUGCCCAGGCUGGUCUUGAAUCCUGAACUCUUGAGCUCAAGUGAUUCUCCCUCCUCAGCCUCCUAAGCUGGGAUUAUAGAUCCUGCUCACACUAAAAUAUGAACCACAAACACACAGAGAAACAACCUGUUCACCACUCCUGGGUGCAUGAUUGAGGGUGAAGCAUCCACCAGCACUUCAAGGGGUCCAUAGUAUUUUUUUUUUUGCUGCCUCAAAGUCCCCAAAGCCUUCGAGCAGAAGUGGCAGUAGAUGGUUGCCAAUCAGCCAAUGCAGACUUUCACUGGGACAACAAGAAAGCAGAUCUUCUGGGUUUUGAUGGAACUUGGCAGUGGGGACAUUCAGCUGAUGCAUUAUAUACCCCGUCAGAGCACACUUGUAUCUUUUACCUUCCCUUUGCCCCAUGCCCCCAAACUGCUUAGGUCUUCUCUGUCCCUUUACUGCUGCUGCACAGAGAUGAUAUAAAAGAGGCUCUUUGGCUAUUUGCAUUUUGCUUCCUCUUCUUUUCCAGAUUACAGUAUGAAGCUUUAUUUUCUUUGUACAAGCUUAAAAUUUCAACAUCAUCAUCCGCCAAAGUUGUUCCUCCCUUUUCGGAGGAUCUAGGGGGAAAGAGGAGCAUUCAUCACAAGUUUCCUAGAGAGAGGAGACAAAUCGG
rnacentral:lncRNA from 1 species